CUGAUAUUGAAGACCAAGCCGGUGACGAGUGAUAUUUUUCUUAACAUAACUGUUCCUUCGAGCCAGAUCUAAAGACCUCCUCUUCUCUCCAGACUGGACCUGAAACCGUGCACGGGGGAGUCCAGGACUCCUGAGAAAAGACCUCCGCCUUACUCCGUACAGUGAUUUGGUGAAUUGAGAGGCCAGGAUCUGCUGGGGAGAGGACGAGUGACGAGAUCCUAGAACCACCGACCUGGCUCUUUCUUCAAAAUCAGCAGACACAGACGACUUCCUCCCCUGUACAACCCUCCUGUGCCUCUCUCUGUGGAAUCUGAGUUGGCGAUUGGCCUACAACAAACAAAAGCCUGCCCUACACUCCACUCUCCCACGGUGCCAACCUCUACCCACAAUCUACCUCUGCCCUCCCUCCUCCCUCGGCUCCGCUGCAAAUGCCCAAAGCCCCAGCGCUCACCAACCCCCAGAGGCAAACAGAAGACCACCUGGGGAACCAUGCCAGCAGUACGUCAUCGGGUAGGCAAUUCAGAUCUGUUAUAAUCAUAUUAAAGAGUGAUAAUGUCAAAUCCCUUCUGCUAAAAAUAACACUAAUGAUUCCUUAGAUUGGACAAAAAGUCACGGAAUGUACACAGAGAUUAGGUGAAACUGUGGUGCAAUAUUUUGCUCGUUUAAGGGUUGUGUUUUUAUGCAAACAGCGAUAAGACCCAAAUCAAGGACGAGGCAUCACCAUAUUCUCAACAGCAACAAAUGCCUUUUUGAAUGGCCUACAUGGCCCAACUUCAGAGUUUGUCCAGAAACAUCAAGUAAGAUGGCAGACAGCUAGAAUUUGACACCCUAUGCUGUGCAUGCAGCCACAACUAUACAGGACAAGAACAUUUGAGAUAAGAAGAAAGCAGGGUUACAUAUAAUAAUGGAAAUGUUAUGAUCACCCCAUUUCUAACACAUUUUCUGCUCAACUGUUCUUUUCUGAGGUGAACAGAGAGACACUGGCGAGAGCGGAGCCGUGGAGGACGGGAAAGAGGAGGAGGUGGAAAAAAGGGCGAGGAGGCAAACUGGAGGGAGCAGGCUUCACAUGUGGCAAAAAAAAGGACAUUAAAACAA